AGUGGGGAAUAUUGCACAAUGGGCGAAAGCCUGAUGCAGCAACGCCGCGUGAGCGAUGAAGGCCUUCGGGUCGUAAAGCUCUGUCCUCAAGGAAGAUAAUGACGGUACUUGAGGAGGAAGCCCCGGCUAACUAC
rnacentral:rRNA from 1 species